rnacentral:misc_RNA from 1 species
GUGAAUCAUCGAAUUUUUGAACGCAAAUUGCACUCUCUGGUAUUCCGGAGAGUAUGCCUGUUUGAGGGUCAGAUUAAAUAAAAAUCGGGGUGUUUGCUGCUUUUCGUGGUGACGCACCGGAUCUGGUUCGUCUUGCCGUCGGUUUAGUGACCUAAAAUUUUGCAUGAUUUUUUCGAACGUGUUUAAAUGAUUUUACGUACGUUUGCGAUAUCGAAUACUAGGUUCGGUUAUCCUCAUCAG